rnacentral:rRNA from 1 species
UACGAAGGGUGCAAGCGUUGUUCGGAAUCAUUGGGCGUAAAGCGCACGUAGGCGGGCCUAAAAGUCGAAUGUGAAAGCCCCGGGCUUAACCUGGGAAUGGCACUCGAUACUGUAGGUCUUGAAUGCUUGAGAGGGUGGCGGAAUUCCAGGUGUAGAAGUGAAAUUCGUAGAUAUCUGGAGGAACAUCCGAGGCGAAGGCGGCCACCUGGUAAGACAUUGACGCUGAGGUGCGAAAGCGUGGGUAGCAAACAG